ensembl:snRNA U6 U6 spliceosomal RNA
GUGCUUGUCUUGGCAGCACACACACUAAAACUGAAACAAUACAGGGGAGACAGGAUGACUCCUCUGGAAAGAUGACAUGCAAAUUUGUGAAUCAUUCCAUAUUUAA